rnacentral:tRNA from 2 species
GGAGAGGUGGCAGAGCUGGUUGAAUGCGGCGGUCUCGAAAACCGUUGUGCCUCUACUCGGGGCACCGAGGGUUCGAAUCCCUCCCUCUCCGCCA